rnacentral:hammerhead_ribozyme from 1 species
ACACUACUGAGGAGUCCCACAACAGAACGAAAGGGCCGUCCAGUGC